UACGUAGGGCGCAAGCGUUGUCCGGAAUUAUUGGGCGUAAAGAGCUCGUAGGCGGUCUGUUGCGUCCGCUGUGAAAACUCGGGGCUUAACCCCGAGCCUGCAGUGGAUACGGGCAGACUUGAGGCAUUCAGGGGAGAACGGAAUUCCUGGUGUAGCGGUGAAAUGCGCAGAUAUCAGGAGGAACACCGGUGGCGAAGGCGGGUCUCUGGGCCGAUACUGACGCUGAGGAGCGAAAGCGUGGGGAGCGAACAGG
rnacentral:rRNA from 1 species